rnacentral:rRNA from 1 species
GACGAACGCUUGCGGCGUGCCUAAGAAAUGCAAGUCGAGCGGGGUGAAAGAGCUUGCUCUUUCAUCUAGCGGCGAACGGUCGCGUAACACGUAAGCAACCUGCCCCGAAGACCGGGACAACAUUCCGAAAGGAGUGCUAAUACCGGAUGUGGCCAUUGAGGGACAUCCCUUGAUGAUUAAAUCGAGCAAUCGGCUUCGGGAGGGGCUUGCGGCCUAUCAGCUAGANGGUGGGGUAACGGCCUACCAUGGCGACGACGGGUAGCGGGUCUGAGAGGAUGGUCAGCCGGAUUGGGACUGAGAUACGG